GUGUAGCUCAGUGGUAAAGUACUUGCCCAGCAUGCAUGAGGCCCUGGGUUCAAUCCCCAGUACA
rnacentral:tRNA from 1 species